UACAGAGGUCUCAAGCGUUGUUCGGAUUCAUUGGGCGUAAAGGGUGCGUAGGUGGUGCUGUAAGUCAGGUGUGAAAUCUCGGGGCUCAACCCCGAAACUGCACUUGAUACUGCAGUGCUCGAGGACUGGAGAGGAGAUUGGAAUUCAUGGUGUAGCAGUGAAAUGCGUAGAUAUCAUGAGGAAGACCAGUGGCGAAGGCGGAUCUCUGGACAGUUCCUGACACUGAGGCACGAAGGCCAGGGGAGCAAACGGGG
rnacentral:rRNA from 1 species